rfam:Kluyvera ascorbata ATCC 33433 GKAS.assembly.016, whole genome shotgun sequence.
GACCGACAUCAGGGAUUCGUUCUGCGAACCGUUGCCGACCGCGAGAUAGGAGUGCAUACCCAGCUCUUUCAUCUGCUGUUCGCCGAUGACGCGGGUAAUGACGUUUUUGCUGUAGCUGUCCGCAAGCUGACGCGCCUGAGAGGCCAGAUAAGCCGCAUUACAGAUGUUUGGCGGCAUGUUGCCGAGGUCUUUCGC